UCUCAUUUUAUGAAUCCUCCCUUAAGUUGGGUUAUGCAUGCUACUUUACAUUCAUAUAAAAUCAUGGGCACUUUAUCAUAUUUCAAACCACAUUUUCUCAGAUGAGAUAUAUCAAGGACAUCAACCAUACACAUUCUCAGCUAUUUUCAUGAAUAGCAAUUAUCUCAGCAUGGUUCGAUAAAGUGGCUAUAUAAACUGCUUUGUAUAUUUCUAAGAUAUGGCAGUACCACCACAUGAACACAUAGCCUGUUUGAGAUCGAGCUUUAUGUGGGUCAGAUAAGUACCCAACAUCGACAUGACCAAUA
rnacentral:lncRNA from 1 species